rnacentral:rRNA from 1 species
UACGUAGGCAGCAAGCGUUGUUCGGAAUUACUGGGCGUAAAGAGUGUGUAGGCGGUGUUCUAAGUUCGGUGUGAAAUCUCCCGGCUCAACUGGGAGGGUGCGCCGAAAACUGGGAUGCUCGAGCGUGGGAGAGGAAAGCGGAAUUCCUGGUGUAGCGGUGAAAUGCGUAGAUAUCAGGAGGAACACCAACGGCGAAGGCAGCUCGCUGGGACGGUACUGACACUGAGGCGCGAAAGCGUGGGGAGCGAACAGG